rnacentral:rRNA from 1 species
GACGAACGCUGGCGGCGUGCUUAACACAUGCAAGUCGAACGGAAAGGCCCUGCUUGCAGGGUACUCGAGUGGCGAACGGGUGAGUAACACGUGGGUGAUCUGCCCUGCACUUCGGGAUAAGCCUGGGAAACUGGGUCUAAUACCGGAGAGGAGCCAUUUUUAGUGUGAUGGUUGGAAAGUUUUUUCGGUGUAGGAUGAGCUCGCGGCCUAUCAGCUUGUUGGUGGGGUAAUGGCCUACCAAGGCGGCGACGGGUAGCCGGCCUGAGAGGGUGGACGGCCACAUUGGGACUGAGAUACGGCCCAGACUCCUACGGGAGGCAGCGGUGGGGAAUAUUGCACAAUGGGCGCAAGCCUGAUGCAGCGACGCCGCGUGGGGGAUGACGGCCUUCGGGUUGUAAACUCCUUUCGCUAGGGACGAAGCUUUUUGUGACGGUACCUAGAUAAGAAGCACCGGCUAACUACGUG